rnacentral:rRNA from 1 species
UACGGAGGAUGCGAGCGUUAUCCGGAUUUAUUGGGUUUAAAGGGUGCGCAGGCGGGAGACUAAGUCGGUGGUGAAAUUUUGCAGCUCAACUGUAACAGUGCCAUUGAUACUGGUUUUCUUGAGUGUGGAUGAAGUAGGCGGAAUUUGUGGUGUAGCGGUGAAAUGCAUAGAUAUCACGAGGAACUCCGAUCGCGUAGGCAGCUUACUAAAUUACAACUGACGCUUAGGCACGAAGGCGUGGGUAUCAAACAGGAUUAGAUACCCGU